rnacentral:rRNA from 1 species
UCGGGAAUUUUGUGCAAUGGGCGAAAGCCUGACACAGCAACGCCGCGUGGAUGAUGAAGGCCUUAGGGUUGUAAAAUCCUUUCGCCGAGGACGAUAAUGACGGUACUCGGAGAAGAAGCUCCGGCUAACUUCGUGCCAGCAGCCGCGGUAAUACGAAGGGGGCUAGCGUUGUUCGGAUUUACUGGGCGUAAAGCGCGUGUAGGCGGGUCGUUAAGUUGGGGGUGAAAUCCCGAGGCUCAACCUCGGAACUGCCUUCAAAACUGGCGACCUGGACCUAAGUAGAGGCAAGUGGAAUUGCGAGUGUAGAGGUGAAAUUCGUAGAUAUUCGCAGGAACACCAGUGGCGAAGGCGACUUGCUGGACUUAUGGUGACGCUGAGACGCGAAAGCGUGGGGAGCAAACAGGAUUAGAUACCCCUGUAGUCCCUGAGCGGGCUGGCAAGGCGCAU